UCAGCGAGACGAAACUGGUUUUCACAGUGAUUUGACAGAUAUAUUUGAUUCUGAGAUCAUUGUGAAAGCUGAUUUUGUUCAUUAAUCAU
rnacentral:pre_miRNA from 15 species